UGGAUGUCUCUUGACACGUAUCAAUUAACCUUUAAUGUAUUCGUACCUUUCAUAUUUAUAUCUAAAUAGUUUUGUUUUCUGAUUAAAAAUUGUUACACUAUAUAUGAUUCAUUAUAUAGCAAUAUUCAUUAUGUUAGCUCACCAUCAAUGUAAACAUAAAUUUUGAAAAAUAAAUAAAUAGAGAACACGUCAAUCAACGCUAAACGUAACAUUUUGUCUUGAUGCAAAACUUUUUCACAUUUGCGUUUCCAAAUUUAGACAUUUUGAUACAUUCGGACAAUUUUACAGCCUGCUUCAUGCAUCUUCCAGUUUCUUUCUUGACAUUGUCUGGAACAAAAUGUGGCUAUUUUGCAACUGCUACAUUUAAUUAAUGUACCCGGAUUCAUAGCAAAGCACUGGUAGCAGAAAGGAUUGAUGGUUAUCUCUUUUGCAAUCCAUGUUUUGUACAACAUUAAUAUAGCAUGUAUCUUUAAUGAAUUGAACUGGUUUCGCAACCAUUUUGAAUUUUCUCCUAUAUAUAUUACGGGCAUUACCUCGGAAGAAUUCAUUACUUUCAACGAACUUACAAGGCACGUAAGUGCUAAAUAUGUUUGUUUUUCUGUAUAAAAACACCAAACCAACAGGUUCCAAGCUACAUCUCGAUGGUUGACAUUUGCCCCGUAUAAUGCGAUAAAAAAACAAUAAGUAACAGCUUUGAUAUACUCUUCGACUUUUCCGAGCUUUUUUUUAAUCAUGUAUUUGAGUAUGAAAAAGAAAAUAUUGCUGUCAACAACAGCUCUGUAACGCCAUUUGCAAGUCUUUUUUUCCCUCUCGGUUUUUGGUAAUGAAAUACCAAAAUAUCUGAACAUUUCAUAAUGUAAGACAUCUGGAAUAAUUGGCAUUUCUGUUCGCAGAAAAAAGACACAGGUAGACACCUGUAACUGAAAAGUAUCACAUAAACUCGCGUAUGACGUGUCUGGUUCACUGCCAUUGAAUGCGUGUAUACAACCACAAAAAGAUGGAUCGUCUUUUAUAUACUCAUCGUCUAACUAGUCUAUGAACCAUUCACAGUCUUCAUAGAACCCAGCAGCGUACAAGACUGAUAUCAGUUUCAGUCUUCCAGAUAAACCACAUUUCAUUAAGACCGUACAAGAUCCGUAUAACAGGAAAUCACGAACUUGAAGGUUCUCAUGCCGUAUAGCAAUUGCAGCAAUGUUACUUGCUAGACAUGUAUAGAUAUGAGGUGUCAAUAAGGAAAGAGCGCACUGCGUAUCUUCCUGUGUAUGUUCAGUGAUUGUGUCGGUAUGUUGUAUUAAAUGUAGCAUACCCCACAGUGACUUUAUAAAUUGACAAAUAUUGCCAUUGUAUUUUCGCUCAGCAUUGCUAAUAAUGCUUAGGUUGAUAGUACUUAAGACACCAUAUAUCAAAAGUUUGUAAAUCGCGUGAACGUUAUAUUUGUAUAUGUCUUUGCUAUUUGCUUGAAGUCUAUGUAUCGUACUUACACAUCCUCUUGAUUGAAGAUAUUCCCUUAUGUUGUCAAUGUUUAUAGACCGCAAACAAUCAAAUCCAUCAUUUAAAAGUUUUUCUAAUAUUUGUUUUGUUAAUAAUUUUAACAAGUUAUCAAGCCUUCCAUCAAACAAAUUUUGUUUAGGAAUAAAGUAAUCAGGGCAGAAUUCUUUUUCA
rnacentral:lncRNA from 1 species